UACGUAGGGUCCAAGCGUUAAUCGGAAUUACUGGGCGUAAAGCGUGCGCAGGCGGUUGUGCAAGACCGAUGUGAAAUCCCCGGGCUUAACCUGGGAAUUGCAUUGGUGACUGCACGGCUAGAGUGUGUCAGAGGGGGGUAGAAUUCCACGUGUAGCAGUGAAAUGCGUAGAGAUGUGGAGGAAUACCGAUGGCGAAGGCAGCCCCCUGGGAUAACACUGACGCUCAUGCACGAAAGCGUGGGGAGCAAACAGGAUUAGAUA
rnacentral:rRNA from 1 species